GCAAUUCCUAAUGUUUUCAAUGUGUGCUGUGCUUUUGUAUAAUCACUUGUGUGUGUUAUCUCCCUUUACAACUCUAGGUGCCGGAGCAAACGUGGGUGGUCACAGUUCAGGGGCUUCCCUGGCUGCAGACGCUAAAGGUAAAGGUAAUAAGGCAAAAGGUAAAGAAAAAGGUGGUAAACCUACUCAAGAAACAGAGCCAGCUGACAGUCCUGACUUUAUAAACCCACUGUUA